rnacentral:rRNA from 1 species
UAAGGAGGAUCCGAGCGUUAUCCGGAUUUAUUGGGUUUAAAGGGAGCGUAGGCGGGUUGUUAAGUCAGUUGUGAAAGUUUGCGGCUCAACCGUAAAAUUGCAGUUGAUACUGGCAUCCUUGAGUACAGUAGAGGUAGGCGGAAUUCCUAGUGUAGCGGUGAAAUGCGUAGAUAUUAGGAGGAACACCAGUGGCGAAGGCGGUCUGCUGGACAGCAACUGACGGUGAGGCGCGAAAGCGUGGGGAGCAAACAGG